UACAUUUUCAUGGCCACAGUACUUUAAUAUUUCAAUAAUUUCUAGGAUUUUGUUUGUAUAAUGUUAAAUGCAACAUUUUCUUCUUUCUAGGAUCUCCAUUUUGUAAGAUGAGCAGUAAAACAUCCGUUUUUCUUCAGAAUGUCACUGAAAUGUCUCUCUCUCCUUGAUGUCUUGGUCUCUUAAAAUUCACCAGGGAUGGGUUUACUUUCACACCAACAUUGUUGAUGAUAAUCCACAGAGAGGAUAAGCCUCUUGUUCUUCCUGUCCUGUCAAACUGGCCAUCGUACCCACAUCCCUGGAAAGUAUAGCUGGAACCCGGCUGCACUUUCUGUAGCACAUUUUACAUGUCCAUCCUAUCAGAAGAAUAUGCUUUAUUUUAAGUUUCUAUUCUGAAAUGACUCCAAAAUGACAGAAAGUUUGCAAAAAUGGUUGGUAACAAAGACUGUUGGGGUCCAGCCCCUCUAUCGUCUUCUCCCAGGAUUCCAGAAGAGAUGUUACCAGCAGCAAGAAUUAAUCUGAGGGGUUCAUGAGUAAAUCUAUGUAGAAGAAACUCUUUAGUCCAUUCACUUUACUCUUCUGAGUCAGUUCUCUCUCUCUCUCCAUGCUUCUUUUCUGCUCUUGAACUUAACUCCUUUCUUGCCCAAUUUCUCUCUACAAUUUUCUGCUGUUAUCUCUGAGUUCUAUCUUAAUUCUCCCAUCUCGUUUUUUCCCCUAUCUUGUUCUUCCCUUCUAGCUCUUCUCCAUCUUCCAUCUUGUUCUUCUAGUCCUCUCUUCUAAUCUCCCCUUCCUCUCUCCCCAGUCCAGUUUAAAUAAACAUACAUUCUCUGACUCUGCUGCUUUCUAGUCAGGUGGGGGCAAGCCGGCUUGGUAGCUAGGUCACCUGCGUCACAGCUAGAUGUACCUCAGAUGCUAUUGGAUUGAAGAACAUCUGCAACCAUCUGAAAUAUGUUUCCCCACGUUUUUCUUUAAUAUUUCUAUAGAUAUCAGAAUUCUCACAGUUUCUGUGAAAUGAUUUUCUGAACAAACAUCAUUUAUGCCUAUGUCUUGAGUAGUGUCAAUCUGAACUGAAAAUGUGUCAACUUUUUAACAUUCUCAAAUUCUACAUUUAAAAUCACAAAGAAUCCCUUAAAAGAGGUUGGGUCAUGAUAAAAUUUGUUUCAGAACAAAGUGACUGGUAAAAACCUGAAGUUCUAGAAGAAAUAAAGAACACAGUCCUCCCAGCCAAACAACUACCUUCUUCAUUGGGUUGGCUGUGUCUGUUUGAUGGACUCCAUCAGGACUACACUUGUUGGCUGCUGAUGUUUCUUCAUUAUAAGUGGAGGGGGGGAGAAUCCUGGGACUCUCAGCUGAAGCUCCAACUAUUCCUCUCAGUCAUUUGUAGGCUAACAGGCAUAAUUGCAUAUAACGCUCUUUAAACUGUUAAUUAGAUAAUUGCAUUUUAAAUGAUUUAAUUCUCAUAAAUUUAAUCCUUUUCCACGAGUUUAUCAAAACUGAAUUCUGUGAAGCUAUUUAUGUCCUCAAACUGCUUUUUGAAAUAGAAGCAAAUAUAAAUGUUUGUUAUAUUUAUUGGGGAAACCUCAUUAACUGGAUCUUUUCUAUAUAGUAGAAUUGGUUUACCAAUUUGGGUAGAGAUAGAGCUCAAAUUUAAUAUCUUUUUAUAUUAUGGGUAUACAGUGUAAACUCACUCAAAGACUUUUAAGCAUAUUGAGUGAUAAUUUAACAUUUAAAAAAUUGACAACAUUGCUUUGAUUCCAAUGGAUAGCUUCAUAAUAAAUAAGUAAAUAAAUAAAUAAGAAGUAUUUUAUUAAAAACAUUAAGCAGUCUGACUCACUAUUAA